GCCAGCGUGGUACAAUGGUUUGAAUGUUGGACUGUGACUCUGGAGAGACCAGGGUUCGAUUCCCUGUUUGGCC